rnacentral:rRNA from 1 species
AGUGAACGCUGGCGGUAGGCCUAACACAUGCAAGUCGAACGGCAGCACAGUAAGAGCUUGCUCUUACGGGUGGCGAGUGGCGGACGGGUGAGGAAUACAUUGGAAUCUACUUUUUCGUGGGGGAUAACGUAGGGAAACUUACGCUAAUACCGCAUACGACCUACGGGUGAAAGCAGGGGAUCUUCGGACCUUGCGCGAUUGAAUGAGCCGAUGUCGGAUUAGCUAGUUGGCGGGGUAAAGGCGCACCAAGGCGACGAUCCGUAGCGGGUCUGAGAGGAUGAUCAGACAGACGGGAUCUGAGACACGCCCCAGACUCCUACGGGAGGCAGCAGUGGGGAAUAUUGCACGAUGCGGGAAUGCCUGAUCCAGCAAUACCGCGUGGGUGAAGAAGGACUUCGGGUUGUUAAGUCCUGUUGUUGGGAAAGAAAAGAAGCAGUUUAAGCCGCCGCUGUUCUGACGGUACCUAAAGAAUAAGCCCCGGCUAACUUCGUG